rnacentral:tRNA from 1 species
UGCCCCAUAGCUCAGUGGGUGAGAGCACUGGUCUUGUAAACCAGGGGUCGUGAGUUCGAUCCUCACUUCGGGGCUA